rnacentral:rRNA from 1 species
UGAGACACGGCCCAGACUCCUACGGGAGGCAGCAGUAGGGAAUCUUGCGCAAUGGGCGAAAGCCUGACGCAGCCAUGCCGCGUGAAUGAUGAAGGUCUUAGGAUUGUAAAAUUCUUUCACCGGGGACGAUAAUGACGGUACCCGGAGAAGAAGCCCCGGCUAACUUCGUGCCAGCAGCCGCGGUAAUACGAAGGGGGCUAGCGUUGCUCGGAAUUACUGGGCGUAAAGGGAGCGUAGGCGGAUAGUUUAGUCAGAGGUGAAAGCCCAGGGCUCAACCUUGGAAUUGCCUUUGAUACUGGCUAUCUUGAGUAUGGAAGAGGUAUGUGGAACUCCGAGUGUAGAGGUGAAAUUCGUAGAUAUUCGGAAGAACACCAGUGGCGAAGGCGACAUACUGGUCCAUUACUGACGCUGAGGCUCGAAAGCGUGGGGAGCAAACAGGAUUAGAUACCCUGGUAGUCCACGCCGUAAACGAUGAGUGCUAGUUGUCGGCAUGCAUGCAUGUCGGUGACGCAGCUAA